GUCUCCUUCGCCGCGACUCUGCUCCUCCGCCGUCCGCCUUCCGACCACCCAGCUACUCGGCGGCAUUCCUCUCCUCGACGAUUCCACCACAUCCCGCUGUCUCACCACCACUCCUAGGAUAGCGGAGUCCCGUGAUCUCGUGGACCGGCGGCUUCCUUCCUCGUCUCCACCUCCCUUUCGGAACCCUACGGUCGGAACCUCCAUCAUGUCGGCGACCAGUGCAUGCUACACAUUGAGUUAAGCACUAAACCUGGAACCGCAUCACUAAGUAUUCUGAAACGUGAUAAACACUGUUUUCAACAUUAGCUCAUACCUGAUGCUUCAUCGUGUAGCGUUUAUCUUCUUGUUUUGGACAAUAGGCAUAAUUAAUCCCUGAUUGGCAUGCUGAAAUGUCAUUGCGUACCACACACUUCUGUUCAAGGUGAUUAAGAGUAUAUGCAGGGACAGAUCAAAUAUUCAUUGGUUUUCACAUUGAAAAGACUAGACAUUCAUUGUCCUCUGCUAGGAGUUACGGCUAUCAAAUAGGGAUCAAUUGGCCUGGCAGAACGAUUCGAAGAUGAGUUGCACAGAAGUAUAAAUGAUCAGUUGACGGGUUGAACGAUGCUGAACCAAGGAGCUGACAAUGAAUUGCACAGAAGAAGCCUUCCAGGUGGCAAGGGAGAUCGGCGGGUGAUGGAGCAAGAUGAGGCUGCUGCUGCUGCUCUGGUGUUCGUGGCCGGUUGCGGUUGCUGUGGUGGGGGACCUCACUGAAUUGUUUGAUGGUGAUGGGCACCGGGCUGUGGCCGGUGGUGGCCUGACCUGUUGUUUUGUCAUGAGUGGCAGCAGGAGCUUGUAGUUGUAGCUUGCUUACUACUAGCGCCUAGCGCCAGCGGCGACGGAUGGGUGGUUUUAAUUGGUUUGGUUUGUUAAUUAAUUAUAAUGUUACCCUAAUUAAUUAGUAAUUAAUUAAUGACGGGUUUGCCCCCUUCCCGUCUCCGUACCUACCGUAGGGGAGGGAGGAACCCUAAUAAGGCCAGACUCAGACAUAAAUAAGGGAGAGGCCUGGAUCUGGAUCCCCUUUGCCCGGUUCCCUGACCCUGACCCAGCCAGCCGCCUCUCCUGCCCAUGAGAUCCAUGGUUGUUCAAGCUGGAUGUUCCCGCCGGUCCGGUUCGGCCUCUCGACGAAUCCGGAGUACCUGCGCCGUCCCCCAAAGAGGAGGAGGAGGAGAUCAAGGAACUCCGCCGACGGCUUGCCGGAGAUGCGUCUGACGAUGAUAACAUUGAAAGCUCGACAUAAAUCACUAGUCCCCACAGACAGCCCAGCCCCCCUUCGUUCUCGGCCCCUUUGCCUGGCAUCUCGCGCAGCAACUCCGUCUCACCUCUCCCAGAGCGUGCGUCCCGACCUCCAUGGACGCCGGAGGCCACGACCGCGGGCGCGGAGGCGCACCCAGAGGCCGCGGGCGGGGGCGUGGGCGUGGAGAGGACCAGGAUCCCGCUGCUGCUGGAGUUGCUGGAGGUGAACUUCCUGUUCCAGGAAGCUCAACUUGGAUGUACCUGAACACCUGCUGAUUCAAAGUGAGGAGAUUAACAAAGCCAACACAGAGCUAUCGAGCCUCUACAAAGACAUGAAUGAUGUGAGGGCAGCAAUCUCACUCAUGCGCGAUGCCAUGGUGCCCGACCAGAAAGCUUAUGGCAGACUAAUCCAACUUCACGUUGAUGGGUAUCAGGAGAUGCGCUUGACUGGGGAACAACUUAGGAACAAGAUCAGGAGGAUGAAUGGUGGGGGGGUUACCCUUUGAGGAACCCGUUGGGUUUGAUGUCAUGCCGUAGAGGGUAACUGGAGCCCUGAGUCAGCAUUCAUAUAUUAUGUCAAUGUUCAGUUUACUUAGGACAAGUAGCUGUUUACUUGGAAUUAUCCUAAACUUGUAGUGAGCUAAGGUGGUUGAAUUUUCGGCCGAUAUGGCCUGUUUCAUGACAUGCAGCUUUAAAGUGGUAGUCCUGCAAACAGAAUUCAAGCAAACAGAAUUCAAAUAAAUGCCGAGGGUCUGAACACCC